GCUUUAUUGGGAGGAAUAACCAGUGACAGGAACAAAUCUCGGCGGAAAUGAUGUUACAUUUUGGAACAGGUUAAUUUUGAGGUGCUUGAGGGAUGUCCAGGUGGAAAGGUAAAGCAGCCACUUAAAGAUCAGAGCCUAGGGUGGGGCUUGGGGUGUCUAGGGCUCAUAAAUGCUGGGCUGAGCUCACCUGGGCCGGCCUGCAGAUCACACCUUCCCUCAGGUGUACUUCCGGGAGGUGGGGCUGGUGGAGAGGCCGGGAGAGAACCCUCUGUUCUCCACGAAAGUUGACUCUAUGUCACCGUGCAAAUAUGUAAUGGGUCAGGCUCUCACCUGUCACCAUUUCCUGGGGGCAAGGUGAGUGUUACAAAGGUUGGCGUCUGGAGAAUGCAGGACUGUAUGUGGCCCCACUCCCACAGGGUGCUGCUAUCCUGACUAGAGUGUCUUCCCAUCUCUGAGCCCCUAUCAGAAGGUGGAGGAAUUCGGGCUGCCCUCCUCCAGCCAGCCCCAAGCACACUAAAGUCAGGAGAGAUCAUCACACAGCAGGAACAGCACUUCUCCAGGAUGCUGAGAAAGCACUCUCCUGGGGUGCCGGCUGCCUGGACUUGCUGCCAGUGGACAGGACAGGAAGGGGGACAGUUAUGGCGGGUGGAACCGUUCCUGAUGUCUGCAUCCCACCCCUGCUGUCCUCCAAGGAAGAUGAUUCACUGGCAUCCUCUCCAGUGGACUUGGGGAGAAUCCAUCCCCUCAACCAGAACGAGGAAAACUGCUUCCUCUGGACUCAGGUGGGGCUUCCAAGGCGGCCCCGCUGCCACCUCCCCAGCAAACAGCAGACUGGGAGGCAGUGGCCCUGGUGGGCGCUCCCCACCCCUCCCAUCACGCUGCUUCCCUUCUGCCCCUUGCCUGGUCCAGAGGACCCCUGCGCACUCAGACGUCUGUGUGCCCUACUCUCCACGGGGGCCCGUGGCUGCCUCCCCUGAGCAGCGCCUCUCUUCCUGGUUGUGCUCAGGAAGCCACUGUUGGGAAUUGCCCAUCACAGGGCUCGCUGCCUGGCCAGGUAAGGUUUAGGCGAAGGCCAGUGACUGCUCCUUGCUAAUAAGCGUGUGGGAGUCUGUUGGACGGUGCUGGAAAAGAGCCCCUCUCUAAGGGACACUGACAGGGUCUACCAGAGCUGGGAAGAGAGCUACUGCAGAGCCCGCAGCCUUGCUGAGAAGGAGGCAGGGGAAAUGGGUGUCCACUGUAGUCACCGCGGUUUCUGAAGAGCUGCAGGUGGUCUUCAUGCUGUCAUGGUUGUGGGAGGCGGGAGACAGCUCACUCCAGACAGAGUAUGUGCUUCCCUGCUGUCAGCUGCUUCCUCGGAUGUGGGGGCCCUGUAAGCUCCAAGCUGCCUCUGCUCUUCCUUCAGAGCCAUGACUCGCCCCAGACAACCACCGCUGGAGCCCAGAUUCAAACUUCAACAUUGUGUGCUGGCCAUGGCUGUUUUAACUUUUUAUUGCUUUAGCAAAACCUCCACACCCUAAAGCAUGCUUCUCAGACUUGAGUGGGGACGUGGCUCACCUGGGAUCCUCACAGCACCUGGCGGAAGAGUGAAACUCCAGGCCAGGUCACCCUCAUUAGAGCUGAUCUGCUUCUAUGGCUUCCCUCAUGCUGGCCUGUUAACUACCUUCACCUUAUGAAACAGAGAUAAGACACCGUGUUUACUAAAAUUUAAUAUUUCAGUGCUUUUUUUUUAGGACUAGAAAAUAAACUCCUGAGUACUAAGUAUUAAGAGGACAAAAUGAAAACAGACAAAGGAGCUUCUUGUAAUCUGGGAACAGCACACAGACAUUGCUUAGAAAGCAAGAGUGAUUUAACUGCACCCAUACCCAAAGUCCUGCCUGCCAAGUGAAGGAAGCUGAAGCAAGGCUGCCUAAUGUGAGGUGUGCUUCUGAUAACAGGGAUCUAGUAUUUAAAGGUUGUUCCUGCCUUGAGGAAUCUUACCCGUCUCUGGCUAACCAGCCAUCUUCUGGGGCCACACAGGGAGAUGUAAAGCUGGAGCACUGUCCUGAAAAGCUUCUGGGAAACUCAUGUUCUCAUCUUUUCCACACUGCUCAGCAAAGGUUAAUUAACCCUUGGCAAAACGCAAGCAAAAGCAAAGCCAAUAGUAUAAUGGAGGAAAACAAAAUCAAGAAGCUGAGCUAGGCUGAUGGUUGACUCUAAAUGUGAGCUUGGAAGUAAUGAGCAGAGGUGAUGAUUAAUGACACCAAAGAAAAAAAAAAAGCAGUCCUACUUGACCUGAAAUCCCCAAGGAACUCGACCCAGCUGAGUCUGUCCCUGCUUACUCGACUGACAAACGAUACCAGUGACAUCUCAGGAAGGAAAUCAGAUGACAACAGAAAUCAAAGAAGCUCAGCUGACAGAUCCCCCAGCAGCCGGGGACCCAUUUCAGAAGUGAGUGUUGACAGUUUUGGCAGAUAGCUCAUGUCUCCUGCUUCAGGAGAUGAUGGACUGGAGGCCCCAGCUGCUGAAGACCCCUUCGGCCUCUCUGUGUGUGUACUGAGCCACAUGCCAGCCGGUGAGGAGCACAUACAGCCAACUUCUGUGACAUGUGGCAUUCCUUCAGAGGGAGCCCGUGGUUCCAGCACUCCCCCUCAGCAUGGCAGAAACUUCUCUGGGCCUGCUGCAUCUGAGACUCUGCCCUCCAGUCCUGCCUCCUUGUCUCCACCAAGAUCAGGCCAGUUUGUGAUUGGACAACUCACACCACCUUUAUGUUUUACAGAGACCAGAGGACACAGGACAACAUCCAGACCACAUCCACACCUGCAAGAACCCAGCGCCUUGCGUAGGGGGAAGAUUUGUUAUAUCUGUCUCACCAGGCCCUGUCUCUGGUGUUUGAGUGAUUUUAGACUGGACCAGGUUCUUCUGCGUUUUUGUGGUGAUAACAUGAUUGCCGGAACUCAAGUUACCUUCCACAAAAAGCCAGUUCCCUCCCGUGAAGAAUUCGGGCCAACCACUUAGAGUUCGUUUUGGUCCAACAGCAGCAAAUCACAGCUGCCGACCUCCCCGUCUCUAUAGUCAGGGACUCUCACCGAAGGCAGAGACCCCAUCUUUUGACCUGUGUCCCCUGUGCCUGGCACAGGGACUCGUAAAUGCUCAAUACACCCACCAAUUUCAAGGAUGAACGACUGCAGGGAAGGGGACACAGGGAACCGGGCCUGUCAGGCCGCACAGCACAGCCUGAUGCAGUCUUACUCACCAGGGUGACAGCUAGAGGAGGGGCCCCAGGCAGCCCAUAGCCAGGUGACUGUGCUUCAGAGAGGCAGAGUCCUGCUGCUCAGCGACAUUUCCUCACUCUCCUGUCACUUAGAACAUACAGAGCGAACAACUCCUCCCACAAGGCUAGGACCUUUGGCUUACCUACUUAAAAAUAGAUCAGAUCUUUCCUCUUGUCUCUGCUCAAAAUAUGUAAUUUUUUCCAAGGACUACAGGGCAAAAAUACUGAGGAUAUCAAAUAUUCAUACCCCAGGAUCUGCUUCAUCCGGUUAACUGAGUCAAGAGGGACAUUGGGAGGAUCUCCAAGAGCCCACAGCUCUGGACCCUGGAGGAACUACAGUCCCUGUGGCUGGAAUGCUGCACCCUGAGCACAGCCUGUCCCUGCUGUGGGCGGCCCAUGGUGGGGCCGGACCCAAGUCAGCUGGUCACACCAAGGACAGAUGUGCCUUCUGAGUGUGGCUGACGUUUCCCUGAGCAGCAUACCUCUGGAAGAACAUGCAGAGUUCUGCCCAUCUGAAACCUAGAAGACCUUUGUAUGUUCCCUUGAAACAUUUGCACUGAAAAAGAUGCCCAUGAGUCAAAUAGUCAUAAAUAAACGACCUGACUGCCCACUGUUCGGAAAACACACGAUGCACUUUCAGGCACAGUGUUCCAGAGCUGAGGACAUCCAGUCAGCCUGCUGGCAGCCUGUGUGGGGGCCAUUUUCAACAGUGAAAACCUCCCACGAAAAGCACAAAUGUGAAAAACGUGGCACUAAACGGACCUCAGAGAGCACUUGUGUUCAUAGUUGGAGAGCUGCAGCAAGCAGCAGACAUCACUGGUUUGACCUGGGCUGGCAGCUUUCUCACAGGCACUCAGAUGUUUCUCCACCUUGAGCACAUCCACAAAUGACCACAAAAGCAAGUAUUGGUUUGGGGUUACAGAUAAGUUUUAG